GCAAACUUGGUCAUUUAGAGGAAGUAAAAGUCGUAACAAGGUCUCCGUUGGUGAACCAGCGGAGGGAUCAUUAAAGAGUUUACCAAAACUCCCUAACCCUUUGUGAAUCUUACCUGUUAUUGUUGCUUCGGCGGGAUGAAAUUCGUCCCGUCGAAGGUACCUUAAACUCAACUGAAUUAUAGUGAAUCUUUCUAAGUUCAAUGUAAAACAAAAUUACAGUACAACUUUCAACAACGGAUCUCUUGGCUCUGGCAUCGAUGAAGAACGCAGC
rnacentral:misc_RNA from 1 species